ACACUUCUGAACUCCAGCUGCAUUUUAGAAUUUAUUGUUUUAUUUCAAAACAAACAUUUGAAAUUCUACUACCUUUCACCCAUUGGAACAACCACCACAUUUACAGAUGGUGAGAGCUCUUCACAUGCAGGUUGUUUCAGUGUACCCAGUAUGGCAUUUUACAGAGGCA